GACGAACGCUGGCGGCGUGCUUAACACAUGCAAGUCGAACGAUGAAGAAGAGAAACGUGAACUUCGGUUCAAAUUUCACUUCGGAUUAGUGGCAGACGGGUGAGUAACGCGUGAGCAACCUACCUCUUACAAAGGGAUAGCCUCGGGAAACCGUGAUUAAUACCAUAUGACACAUUCAUAAGGCAUCUUAAGAAUGUUAAAGCUACGGCGGUAAGAGAUGGGCUCGCGUCCCAUUAGCUAGUUGGUGAGGUAACGGCCCACCAAGGCGACGAUGGGUAACCGGCCUGAGAGGGUGAACGGUCACAUUGGAACUGAGACACGGUCCAAACUCCUACGGGAGGCAGCAGUGGGGAAUAUUGCACAAUGGAGGGAACUCUGAUGCAGCGACGCCGCGUGAGCGAUGAAGGAAUUCGUUUCGUAAAGCUCUGUUCUAUGGGAAGAAAAGGACUGUACCAUAGGAGAAAGCCCCGGCUAAAUACGUG
rnacentral:rRNA from 1 species